UACGUAGGGUGCGAGCGUUAAUCGGAAUUACUGGGCGUAAAGCGUGCGCAGGCGGUUCGUUAAGACAGAUGUGAAAUCCCCGGGCUUAACCUGGGAACUGCAUUUGUGACUGGCGAGCUAGAGUAUGGCAGAGGGGGGUAGAAUUCCACGUGUAGCAGUGAAAUGCGUAGAGAUGUGGAGGAAUACCGAUGGCGAAGGCAGCCCCCUGGGCCAAUACUGACGCUCAUGCACGAAAGCGUGGGGAGCAAACAG
rnacentral:rRNA from 1 species